rfam:Salmo salar isolate Sally breed double haploid chromosome ssa23, whole genome shotgun sequence.
GGUCGUGUGGCUCAGUUGGUAGAGCAUGACACUUGUAAUGCCAGGGUUGUGGAUUCGAUUGCCAUGGGGACCA